rnacentral:misc_RNA from 1 species
CGCGCUUCACUAGUAGCUUAUCUUCUUCUUUGCCCUUCCCAUCUUCUUCAUCUCCAACUUCAUCACCUUGGUUUUGUGCUCCUGCUUUUGGACUCAAAGGAGGAACCAAGCGGGAUAUGAUNNNNNNNNNACCUCCCUUCUCUUCAUCUUUUUCUUCUUCCUGUUUCUCUUCAUAACCUUCUUGUUUCUCUUCAUCUGCUUCCUCUUUACAUAGCAAGUUAGAGAUGACAUGGUUUAGUGAUCCAGGAGCUGUGCCUUGACGAUGAUGGUGAUCGUCUUUCUUAUCGUCAUAGUCUUCCUCUUCCUCUUCAGGAUGCAAAAAUCUCACAACUUUAGUCACACCAUCUUCCAUUUUCUUUUCUCUCUUCGGCUUCUUUCUGCUUCAUCGGACGCCGACUAUAAGUAACGCCUGAGACAGAGCCGGGGGACAAACGUC